UGGACCAAUGAUGAUGACUGGUGGUGUAUGAGUCAUGCCCAGUGAAUAGCACGUGCCUGGAACUCUGAGGUCCAA